rnacentral:rRNA from 1 species
GUGUCAGCCGCCGCGGUAAGACAGAGGGUGCAAACGUUGUUCGGAAUUACUGGGCGUAAAGCGCGUGUAGGCUGCUUGGAAAGUCGGAUGUGAAAGCCCUGGGCUUAACCCAGGAAGUGCACUCGAAACUUCCGAGCUUGAGUUCUGGAGAGGGUGGCGGAAUUCUCGGUGUAGAGGUGAAAUUCGUAGAUAUCGAGAGGAACACCGGUGGCGAAGGCGGCUACCUGGACAGAAACUGACGCUGAGACGCGAAAGCGUGGGGAGCAAACAGGAUUAGAUACCCCGGUAGUCC